GGCUCUGCGCUCGAGGGGGAGCAGCAUCAUGGUUCAACGUGGGUCAAUUUUUUGUGAAUGAGGAGGGGAGGUUGUGGGGCCGCUGCCGCGGAGCACCAUCCCCGCCGCCGCCCGAGCCCGAGCCCGCGCGCCUGCUCGCGCCGCCGCCGUCGCCGCGCCGCCUCACGCCCGGCCCGCUCAACGCGACUGCUGUCGCCGUCGCCGCCCGAGCCCGCCCGCCCGCCGGCGGCGGCGCAGGCUGAGGAGAUCGCGGCUCGGAGCGCCCGAGCAUGGCUAGACGCGGCCCGCCGCCGCCGCGGUUCAUCUCUGCAAGGCCAGGUGACAACUUCUGCUCUUCUUGUGGAUUACUUGGUUUACAAGACGCUGCCAGUGGGACUUCGAGUUUGCGCAGCUGGGACCCGGGCCUCCUCAGUUUUGUACCUGCAUGUUCUCGUGGGAAUUUGGAGCGUGUUGGAGCCACUGUUUACCUGGACAUCUUGAGCCAUUUCGAACUUAAGGCACUGACGCUGCUAGCAAUGAGCUCCCAAAGCCAUCCAGAUGGACUUUCUGGCCGAGACCAGCCUGUGGAGCUGCUGAAUCCUGCCCGCGUGAACCACAUGCCCAGCACGG
rnacentral:lncRNA from 1 species